rnacentral:rRNA from 1 species
AUUGAACGCUGGCGGCAGGCCUAACACAUGCAAGUCGAACGGUAGCACAGGGGAGCUUGCUCCUUGGGUGACGAGUGGCGGACGGGUGAGUAAUGUCUGGGAAACUGCCCGAUGGAGGGGGAUAACUACUGGAAACGGUAGCUAAUACCGCAUAACGUCUUCGGACCAAAGUGGGGGACCUUCGGGCCUCACACCAUCGGAUGUGCCCAGAUGGGAUUAGCUAGUAGGUGGGGUAAUGGCUCACCUAGGCGACGAUCCCUAGCUGGUCUGAGAGGAUGACCAGCCACACUGGAACUGAGACACGGUCCAGACUCCUACGGGAGGCAGCAGUGGGGAAUAUUGCACAAUGGGCGCAAGCCUGAUGCAGCCAUGCCGCGUGUAUGAAGAAGGCCUUCGGGUUGUAAAGUACUUUCAGCGGGGAGGAAGGCGUUAAGGUUAAUAACCUUGGCGAUUGACGUUACCCGCAGAAGAAGCACCGGCUAACUCCGUGCCAGCCGCCGCAGUAA